UGGCGGGUAGCUCAGCGGUUAGAGCGCGCGCCUUAUAAGCGCGAGGUCGCGGGUUCGAACCCCGCUCCGCCGACCA
rnacentral:tRNA from 1 species